rnacentral:rRNA from 1 species
UACGUAGGUGGCAAGCGUUGUCCGGAUUUAUUGGGUUUAAAGGGUGCGUAGGCGGUCUUAUAAGUCAGUGCUGAAAUAUCCCGGCUUAACCGGGAGGGUGGCAUUGAUACUGUAGGACUUGAGUAGAGUUGAGGUUGGCGGAAUUGACGGUGUAGCGGUGAAAUGCUUAGAUAUCGUCAAGAACACCGAUAGCGAAGGCAGCUUACUAGACUGUAACUGACGCUGAUGCACGAAAGUGUGGGGAUCAAACAGG